GAUGAACGCUAGCUACAGGCUUAACACAUGCAAGUCGAGGGGCAUCAGGAAGAAAGCUUGCUUUCUUUGCUGGCGACCGGCGCACGGGUGAGUAACACGUAUCCAACCUGCCCUUUACUCGGGGAUAGCCUUUCGAAAGAAAGAUUAAUACCCGAUAGCAUAAUGAUUCCGCAUGGUUUCAUUAUUAAAGGAUUCCGGUAAAGGAUGGGGAUGCGUUCCAUUAGGUUGUUGGUGAGGUAACGGCCCACCAAGCCUUCGAUGGAUAGGGGUUCUGAGAGGAAGGUCCCCCACAUUGGAACUGAGACACGGUCCAAACUCCUACGGGAGGCAGCAGUGAGGAAUAUUGGUCAAUGGGCGCUAGCCUGAACCAGCCAAGUAGCGUGAAGGAUGAAGGCUCUAUGGGUCGUAAACUUCUUUUAUAUAAGAAUAAAGUGCAGUAUGUAUACUGUUUUGUAUGUAUUAUAUGAAUAAGGAUCGGCUAACUCCGUGCCAGCAGCCGCGGUAAUACGGAGGAUCCGAGCGUUAUCCGGAUUUAUUGGGUUUAAAGGGAGCGUAGGUGGACUGGUAAGUCAGUUGUGAAAGUUUGCGGCUCAACCGUAAAAUUGCAGUUGAUACUGUCAGUCUUGAGUACAGUAGAGGUGGGCGGAAUUCGUGGUGUAGCGGUGAAAUGCUUAGAUAUCACGAAGAACUCCGAUUGCGAAGGCAGCUCACUGGACUGCAACUGACACUGAUGCUCGAAAGUGUGGGUAUCAAACAGGAUUAGAUACCCUGGUAGUCCACACAGUAAACGAUGAAUACUCGCUGUUUGCGAUAUACAGUAAGCGGCCAAGCGAAAGCAUUAAGUAUUCCACCUGGGGAGUACGCCGGCAACGGUGAAACUCAAAGGAAUUGACGGGGGCCCGCACAAGCGGAGGAACAUGUGGUUUAAUUCGAUGAUACGCGAGGAACCUUACCCGGGCUUAAAUUGCAGUGGAAUGAUGUGGAAACAUGUCAGUGAGCAAUCACCGCUGUGAAGGUGCUGCAUGGUUGUCGUCAGCUCGUGCCGUGAGGUGUCGGCUUAAGUGCCAUAACGAGCGCAACCCUUAUCUUUAGUUACUAACAGGUUAUGCUGAGGACUCUAGAGAGACUGCCGUCGUAAGAUGUGAGGAAGGUGGGGAUGACGUCAAAUCAGCACGGCCCUUACGUCCGGGGCUACACACGUGUUACAAUGGGGGGUACAGAAGGCAGCUAGCGGGUGACCGUAUGCUAAUCCCAAAAUCCUCUCUCAGUUCGGAUCGAAGUCUGCAACCCGACUUCGUGAAGCUGGAUUCGCUAGUAAUCGCGCAUCAGCCACGGCGCGGUGAAUACGUUCCCGGGCCUUGUACACACCGCCCGUCAAGCCAUGGGAGCCGGGGGUACCUGAAGUACGUAACCGCAAGGAUCGUCCUAGGGUAAAACUGGUAA
rnacentral:rRNA from 1 species